GGCCGGGUGGUGGAAUGGCAGACACGCCUGACUCAAAAUCAGGUGCUCUUCGAGUGUGCGGGUUCAAGUCCCGCCCCGGCUA
rnacentral:tRNA from 1 species